CCUUGAUGGUGAGGUUUGAAGGACAGUAUGAGUUUAGUGCCUCACAACUGCUGUGUUCUCCCUCUCCCAGCACCUAGAGAAGCUCUCUGCAUCACACCUCUGCUGCCAGGGUGGGGUAGGGGUGGCAUCAGCCAUUCAGGAGUGUAUUUUCUAUUUAUUCAGCACCUCUUUCAGUGAUACGAAGUCAUAACCAGACAGAGCACAGUGGGGAUAGCUCAUCUCUACUCCGCAAUUUCCAGGCAUGAGCUAGGAUGGCUGACCAGUAACAGCUGGCUGGGACAAUUUAACAGAAGCCAUAUGGGUAAGUUCUCAUUAUUCUCUGACUUCUUUGGUUCUCCUCCAUGUGGUGCUUCCUUCAGCUAGCUUGUGCUUCCUCACAAUAUGGUGAUUCCAAGGGAGCGGAACUUAUAUGUCAGCUGAUUUUUCAGAGAUAUAACAUGUAACCUGCUAGUCUUCUUUAGGUUUGAGCUCAG
rnacentral:lncRNA from 1 species